AUGACUCAACUCUACACCUUACUGUACAUAGUGAGAUACACAACACUGAUUCUCACUGUAGUUACAACAGGCAGUUUUGCAGUCAAAAUUGGACCGACUGAUAAAGAUGCCAACAUCAUAAGUAAAGAAACAGAUACUGUUACUCUCAAAUGUUCAUAUGAGACAAGCAGGGAAAGCAUUCGACUUUACUGGUACAAACAAAAUCCUAACAGCACACCACAGUUUUUACUCUAUAAAGGUGCAAGGUCAGCAUCUGCAGAGCGCAAACCCACUGACACUCGAUUAGAGUCCAAAACUACCAGAGACUCUACUGAACUUACUAUCAGAGGUCUAAAGAUCUCAGAUUCUGCUCUCUAUCACUGCGCACUUAAAGACGUAACACAGUAA